rnacentral:lncRNA from 1 species
UGGAACAGUUGUCGAGCCGACUCCAGAAAAGCAUGAGUCGACUCCUGCUACAGCCGAGUCGACUCCAGAUCGCGCGAGUCGACUCCGAUCCCAACGGGAACUUUGUCAGGAGUUGCAGACUGUGCACAACGGCUCUAUUUUUCUCUCUAACGGCUAGAUUUCUGGUUCCACGACAUGUAAAGCUAUAAAAUCAAGAGGAGAGCUAGGGAAGACGGUAUGGAAGUGGGAGAAAAUAUUUAGGGAAGAGAUUACAAGGGAAAUCUCCCAUAAGCACAAAAAGGGCCAUUCAAAGUGAAAUAGAGAGAAGAAGAGCAUCCAAGUGAAUCCCAAAGCUUCCUCUUCAUCCGUGUGCUGCCUCGGUGAUCUUCUACUUUGGGCAAAAUCAGAAGAGGGUCAAGUAAAGAAGAAGCCGAGUUCCUCCAUCUACAAAUUUGUUUGAGGGCUUCUUCCCUUUACUUUACUUGUUUAUAUUUGCUAUAUUCG